rnacentral:rRNA from 1 species
UAGGGAAUCUUCGGCAAUGGGGGGAACCCUGACCGAGCAACGCCGCGUGAGUGAAGAAGGUUUUCGGAUCGUAAAGCUCUGUUGUUAAGGAAGAACGAGUGUGAGAAUGGAAAGUUCAUACUGUGACGGUACUUAACCAGAAAGGGACGGCUAACUACGUGCCAGCAGCCGCGGUAAUACGUAUGGACCGAGCGUUGUCCGGAAUCAUUGGGCGUAAAGGGUACGUAGGCGGCCUAGUAAGUUAGAAGUUAAAGAAUAUAGCUCAACUAUAUAAAGCUUUUAAAACUGCUAGGCUUGAGAGAUGGAAGGGAAAGUGGAAUUCCUAGUGUAGCGGUGAAAUGCGCAGAUAUUAGGAAGAAUACCGGUGGCGAAGGCGACUUUCUGGUCAUCAUCUGACGCUGAGGUACGAAAGCGUGGGUAGCAAACAGG